AUCGUCAACAACAACAAAAAAUCAACAGUUCUGAAUAUUCAUAAUUCUGCAACCUUUUUUGGAUCGAUCGAACGAAAUGCAACACAUGAAUGUUGAAAAGUUGAUCAGUUUGGUUCAGAAGCGAAAGAAGUUGUGGUGCCCAACGGAUCAGUGCUACAGCAAAUCAAAUGCCUGUCCAGUCCCCUUCUCUACUGCCGCCACUUUUUCUACCGGAAUUUAGGUCGACGUUUUCAGCCGGGUCGGUUCUGGUGCUGCUAAUCUGGUGGUUGUGCUCUUGCUUGUUAGAUCCGAAAAAGAGAACCUCUAGGAAAAACAUAUAUCGAACGCACUAAAACAGCGUUUUUUUAACCAUAACGAUAUAAGUUAUUA